rnacentral:rRNA from 1 species
AUACGGAGGAUCCGAGCGUUAUCCGGAUUUAUUGGGUUUAAAGGGAGCGUAGGUGGACAGUUAAGUCAGUUGUGAAAGUUUGCGGCUCAACCGUAAAAUUGCAGUUGAUACUGGCUGUCUUGAGUACAGUAGAGGUGGGCGGAAUUCGUGGUGUAGCGGUGAAAUGCUUAGAUAUCACGAAGAACUCCGAUUGCGAAGGCAGCUCACUGGACUGCAACUGACACUGAUGCUCGAAAGUGUGGGUAUCAAACAGGAUUAGAUACCCUGGUAGUCCACACAGUAAACGAUGAAUACUCGCUGUUUGCGAUAUACAGUAAGCGGCCAAGCGAAAGCAUUAAGUAUUCCACCUGGGGAGUACGCCGGCAACGGUGAAACUUAAAUGAAUUGGCGGGG